UCGAAUGCGAGGCGUGUGGUAGGUGUAGUACGGAAGUGCCGGGUGUUAUAGUGAUGUGUUGGGUGUAAUGGUAGCGUAGGGCGGAGAGUGUGCGUGGUGUGAAAUGUAGACGCGCAACGUCUGCCCGUCAGCGCAAAGUGGUUGCCUUGAGGACGCACAAAGUGGGUGGAAUUCGUGGUGUAGCGGUGAAAGGCUUAGAUAUCACGAAGAACUCCGAGUGAGAAGGCAGCUGACGGUAGCGCAACUGACGCUGAGGUUGGAAAGUGCGUGUAUCGAACAGGAUUAGAUACCCUAGUAGUC
rnacentral:rRNA from 1 species